rnacentral:rRNA from 1 species
GAAAGCGACGCUAAUACCGGAUAACAUCUUAAGGACUUUGGUUCUUUUGAUCAAAGGUGGCCUCUCCUUGGAAGCUAUUGUUUGGAGAUGAGCCCGCGUCCCAUUAGCUAGUUGGUGGGGUAAUGGCCUACCAAGGCCGCGAUGGGUAGCUGGUCUGAGAGGAUGAUCAGCCACACUGGAACUGACACACGGUCCAGACUCCUACGGGAGGCAGCAGUGAGGAAUUUUGCGCAAUGGGGGCAACCCUGACGCAGCAACGCCGCGUGAGUGAUGAAGGCUUUCGGGUCGUAAAGCUCUGUCAAGUGGGAAGAACUCCCGUGAGGUUAAUACCCUCAUGGUUUGACGGUACCACUGAAGGAAGCACCGGCUAACUCCGUGCCAGCAGCCGCGGUAAUACGGGGGGUGCAAGCGUUAUUCGGAUUUACUGGGCGUAAAGCGCGCGUAGGCGGCCGUUUAAGUCAGAUGUGAAAGCCCGGGGCUCAACCCCGGAAGUGCAUUUGAUACUAUUCGGCUUGAGUAUGGGGAGA